rnacentral:rRNA from 1 species
UUAGUGGUGUGGAAUUCGGCUUAGAGUUUGAUCCUGGCUCAGAUUGAACGCUGGCGGCAGGCCUAACACAUGCAAGUCGAGCGGUAGCACAGAGAGCUUGCUCUCGGGUGACGAGCGGCGGACGGGUGAGUAAUGUCUGGGAAACUGCCUGAUGGAGGGGGAUAACUACUGGAAACGGUAGCUAAUACCGCAUAACGUCGCAAGACCAAAGUGGGGGACCUUCGGGCCUCAUGCCAUCAGAUGUGCCCAGAUGGGAUUAGCUAGUAGGUGGGGUAAUGGCUCACCUAGGCGACGAUCCCUAGCUGGUCUGAGAGGAUGACCAGCCACACUGGAACUGAGACACGGUCCAGACUCCUACGGGAGGCAGCAGUGGGGAAUAUUGCACAAUGGGCGCAAGCCUGAUGCAGCCAUGCCGCGUGUAUGAAGAAGGCCUUCGGGUUGUAAAGUACUUUCAGCGAGGAGGAAGGCGUUAAGGUUAAUAACCUUAGCGAUUGACGUUACUCGCAGAAGAAGCACCGGCUAACUCCGUGCCAGCAGCCCAGUAGC